GGGAGGUAUAAUGGUCUUCUCGAAAGUACCAUUGUAUGAUAAACUUACCGUAGCACCGUAAUGAUCCUCUUCAAUUUUUUUUUCUUCUACAUUCUUCAUUACUUCCGCUUCCGCUUUACAGAAACAAAUUUAAAAGCUUUAUUGUCCUCUUCUAUUCAUUAUUUUCAACAUUAUUCCCUUUCUCUCUUGGCCUCUACUCACCACCAUCAAGGAAACCUAGCCGCACAAUUCCUUUAAUCUAUGGAAUAAUCAAUUCAUAAUUAUCGAUAGAUUUUAGAUUCCAUAAUUUGUAUACUUCAGUUUCUUCAAGCCCCAGGACUCUAGAGGAGAUCAUUGAAGAUUAUAGUGCUCGUCGUCGUGGAAUUAUUCGUGCUUUAACUUACGAUACUCUGUAUAGUUUAUACAUACAUUCAAGAACAUGGAAAAUUAUUUUUUUGUAAAUAUAUAACUUAAUUUGCAAUGUUGUUUCCUUUUUGGGUUUUACAUAUGUGGAUGAAUUUUACCGUUUCUGUGAUUCAUGAGGUUUACUUCAAUUUUUUUAACUUCAUGUUUAAUUUUUUUUCCCCCUUUUUUAUUUAUGUGAAUUUGUUGUUUUGAGUACGAUAAUUUUUUGUAAAUAUGUAACUUAGUUUGGAAUCUUGUUCUCGUUUUUGGUUUUUGUAGAUGUCGUUGAAUUUUACCGUCUCUAUAAUCUAGGAAAUUUAUUUUAUAUUUUUAGCUGCUGAAUUUUUUUCCAUUUUUAUAUAUGUGAAUUUCUUGUUUCAUGUACAUCAACAUUGACCUUUUAGUUCGAUAGUUAUUGUUAAGAGAUAAUGAAAAUUAUUAAUAUUGGGAAUUUUUGUUUCAUUAUGAGUUUUUUUUUUUCCAAUUGAAAUUUAAAGGUUAAUUGUGCUGCCUUUGUUAAUAUUGAAAGUUAAUUAUAGAAAUUUUAUAGCUUUAACAAUAGAUUCCUUUAAGGAUUAAGCAAUUGUUGAUGUCCUUUUUUUUUUCAAUACAUUGAAAAGAAUUGCACAGAAAUCUUUUCUUUUUUAUUUUUCCAUGAAACAAGUAUUUUCUGUUGGGAAUGUAUACUACGGAAAUUGAUUUACCUAUGACAGAACAAUGUAACUAUUAUUUUUACUCUUUACUUGAGGUUGGACAAGAGUUUUCUGUUUUUCUUUCUUAAUGCUAAAUUUGAUUAUGUCAGUUAGUUUCUUAAGCAGUGGAAUACGAAUAUUAAUUUUAACCAUUGGUUUAUCUUCUUGUUAUCAUGCCUCUAGUCAAAGUUGUUGGAAAGUUUCAUAAUUGGCUUGUGAUUAACAAUUUUAUUUUUGUAGUUUUAUUAUUUUGUGCAAAUCGGAUUUGAAGCUGCAUUGUUUGAUCAGAAAACAACGUUUACAUCAUACUAAGGUUGAUUGUUCUAGAGUCUAUUUUAUUUGUGAAGAUUUUUUUAUUUAUGUUAUGAAGUUAAAUUUAUUUGGAAUCAAUAAAAGUUAAGGGGUUCAAAUUUUGAACGAUUUGCUGCAGGAGUUUUGUGAUUAAGGUAUUUUGCAUUUAUUUUGAGAUGCAAAAUAUGGUUUGAGAAGUGACCAAAUCUGCCAGUUUUUUGGCAUAUUUUGUUGCUGUACUGUUGAAAAAUCAAGACAUGUUUCUCAUCAAAUAUUUGAAUAUUGUUCACAAUAUGGCUUUUUGGUCCUAAUUCAUUUAGUAGGUUAUUAUCCAGUGUCACCAAUAGAGUAGUCUUAUUUGCUGGUGUAAAUUUUGUUGUUACACUUUAAUUUAAUCUUUUCCCUAUUACAUGAUUAUGUUUUACUGAAGUUUGUACCUUUUCAUCAUGUGGAAGCAUUUUGUAUCUCCGUUAGCAGUGUAAUGGGUACUUACCAUUUUCGGUAUGUAAAAAUCGACUUUUCAACUUUUCAGUGAAGAAGAAGCAAGAAUGAAAACCAGUUCGGUAUCUACAUGGUAUUACUUUACAUUUUGAGCACUUUUGGGAGAAAAUUUGUCUUACAAGUUGAAAGUAUUGCCCGGAGUUAGAUGAGCGCUUCCUGAUUUCUACUUGAAUGUCAAGAAGAAGGAUUAUGUAGGUAUGUACCUUCAUUCCAUGUUUGCUUGUAUUUGUCCUUGGUUUUUACUUCAUUAUUGUACUUUUGAAAAAAUUUGUUGCUUUCUUAAUCACAAUACAUGUAGGAUGAUUACUACUGCUUCUAUUUUGCACUGAAAAUUUCCUUUAUGUCUGAUAUAUCUUAAAACCAUCAAUUUUUUUCAAGAUUUCAGUCCCGUUGGUUGUUUCUUUUCGAAGGGAAAGGAGGAUUUUGGAGUAAGCUUUUUCAUUCAUUUUGCACAAUCUGUUGAAUCUAUUAAUUUUAGUUUGGGUAUUGUUCUAGGUUCAAUAUCACAUUCCUCAUCGACUUUAUCGCAUAUCUUUUCUGGUUUUACUUUAUUGAUUUUCUUUAAUUAAGUUUUCCUCAAAAGGGGUUUGUCAUUUCUGUAGGGCCGUUGAUUUCUGAAAUAAUAAAGAAGUGGAUGAUAGAGGAAGAGGUGGUGGUGGAUGGUAUUGUGGCUGUGAAGUGAAUUUCACACAAGGUCUUAAUCGAGGGAACACUUGCCAUUCUACCUCUGUUAUAUUCCAUUUUCCUGAACUUUCCAUCUUUCGAUAUAUGAGCAGAAAUUGUAACAAUAGGGAUGCUAUGUAUGACAAUAAAAUUUCCAUCCGUAACAUACUAACGUUACCUUCAAAAUAACCCAAGUACUUAUUAAAAGCA